UUUCAGGUACUUUGCUAGAUUACAAUGGUAUCAAAGCAGCGAGUGGCUGUUCUACUCGGCACAUCUAUGAAGCUGGUUGUGGAGGGUGCUUCCAACAUAACUUCAGGAACAGUGUACAGAACAAUUGGUGGAACUUGUAUGCUACAGAAAGUAGCACAGGGGCUGGCCAGCUGAGCAGACGGCACACUGGAGAUGUGAUCCUGUGGUCCCAGGUUGAAUCCUGGCAAGAAAUGGUGGGCCGAGUUUUUCACCCUAUGCCCCUAAUAAGAAUUGGGAAGUCCAGCUGUUCAUCCUAGAGUUUGAAGGUGUUGAUUGCUUGAUAUUUGGAAUGGGGUGGUAAUAGAGAUUAUGAUGGUAUCAAGGAAUUGACUGGCUUAAGAAGUGUGGCUGUUCUACUCUGCACACCCAAUAAACUGGUGGUUGUUGUCCUUGGUACUCUGGAUGUUUUCCUGGCCUUUGAAGGUGUUUGGAGUCUUCAGUUGAAACCUCAACCUGAAACAAAAUUGUCAACAUUAGUUAUAUUGUAUACUAUUUAAUAAAUCUUUUAAUGAAAA
rnacentral:lncRNA from 1 species